AAUAAGCGUUCCGCGGGUGGGGAUAAUUCCACACCAGGGGCAAGUGAAGUUGGCGCACCGAAAAGCGACAUUGUGAAGCCGGAGCCCGAGACACCAGCACGAGAUCUUGGAAAACAGAUUUAAUUUACCGUUGACUAAAUCCCGAGCUACGACGCAAUUAACCAGAUCCGAGAUACCUGAUAGAGCUGUGUAAUUUGGCGGACAAAAUUUGCCUAGACCGAAGGCCACAGAAACGACUACGGAAGCCGAAUUAAAAGAAAAGAAAUCGCCAAAAAUUUCUCAGGUACAGAAAAUUUAACCUCGGUAAAUUAUUGCGUCGCUCCCGGAAAUUCUAGGCACAGGCCAGGUUCCGUCUUCCAAUCACCCUACUUGAUUAAUUAAUUAAUUAUCCGAAUUCAAAU